AGGCUUAAACAUGUAAGUCGAACGGCAGCAUGUUUAUCUUCGGAUAAAUGAUGGCGAGUGGCGGACGGGUGAGUAACGCGUAGGAAUCUACCUUAAUGUGGGGGACAACUCAGGGAAACUUGAGCUAAUACCGCAUAGUCUCUAUGGAGUAAAGCUGGGGAUCACUUCGGUGACCUGGUGCAUUAAGAUGAGCCUGCGUCAGAUUAGCUUGUUGGUGGGGUAAAGGCCUACCAAGGCAACGAUCUGUAGCUGGUCUGAGAGGACGAUCAGCCACACUGGGACUGAGACACGGCCCAGACUCCUACGGGAGGCAGCAGUGGGGAAUAUUGGACAAUGGGCGAAAGCCUGAUCCAGCAAUGCCGCGUGUGCGAUGAAGGCCUUAGGGUUGUAAAGCACUUUCAGUAGUGAGGAAAAGCACGAUAUUAAUACCAUCAGUGCCUUGACGUUAGCUACAGAAGAAGCACCGGC
rnacentral:rRNA from 1 species